ensembl:lncRNA
CAUCCCUCAAAAUGUUAUUUAAAAAGGAAAAAAAUAAAAAGCAAAUGAGAGCUUAAUAGAUCAGAGGGAAGGAAAUAAAACUUUGAGCAUUCAUUUAUGUUGCAGGGAAAGCUGGAUGAAAGAAGACACUUGUGUGACUGCUGCUUGCCCUUCCAGUGCAUUGCAGCAACCUAACUGCCACAUGAUGCUGCUUUUCCCUGGGACCUCCUGAAAUCCAAGCAGGCAGGAACCGGAAUGGGAAGCGUGCUGCCUUCAGCCAAAGUCACACAGAAAGUCAAGGCAUCGAGACCUUCAUUCAAGUCUGGCUGCCUCCAAAGUCCACAUUGUGACCUCUGGGUGCCAUUACUCCAGAAAGGCGGAGUGCUGCAGCUCUCGCUUACAUCAAGGGAAGAAGGCGGAAGGGCUGUUCCAGUGUAUCCAUCUCCUUCUGUCAUGAAAAGCAGAAGCCUUCCCAGAAGCCCUCCUAACUUCCGUUUAGAUCUCUUUGGCCAGAAGUGUGUCUCGCGGUCCCUUCCGGGUGGAAGGGAGGUUGUGAAAGCUAGUCCCUUUUGUCCUGUGUUCCCCAAGCACAUCUGAGAUUUAGGAGCAAGAAAGGCCUGAAAGCUGCCUUGGGGACUGAGAGCUGGGGUAUAAGGGAAGGUAAUGCUUUUAAAAAGGAAGUUAGGGAUCGAUGACGACAAAAGGGGGUGUUGCAGAAACCAAGCACCAGACUCGCAGAGUUGAACUCAGGUUUACUAUGCCGGCAGGCCCAGAGGAGUUAACAGUCCAGGCUCUGAGCCCUAAACAAAGGGGUUACAGAGUUUUAAUAGACCUACUCUAGUGGGCAACACGAAUAGGCUGGUUUAAACUAAGGGGUUUCACGCUCUCAGGAACAGCAGUCAAGACGGGGAGGGGGAUGCCUGACCUUCACAUGGACAGGCAAGAUUAAGCAGGUUUGCAGGGGCUGGGCGGCUGCAAAGAGCAGGACAAGGUGAGUGAGAUAAGCUCCAGUUCCUAGUAUUGCAAGUCCCCGCUUUCUGAGACUACAUGACCUGUGUGAUCCGGACUUUUCAAGGAGCAAGCUGAGUUACAGAGGCUGAAAGAGCAGGAGAUUAUGUAAAAUUUUAACUUUUCCUCUUCGGGAGGAAGGGGUACCAGGUGGAGGAAAACAGACCCAAUCUGUUUCUUACACUUGUUUAUUGCAAUUAUCCCAAUUGCUAUUACAAUCCCUAAUCCACUACUUCUGGCUCUAAAAGUCUUUGUUCUUAAGGGCAUACAUUAAAAAAAAAUUAUCUCUGAGUAUAAAUGUGCUGUGCUUAGUCACUCAGUCAUGUCCUACUCUUCGUGACCCCACGGACUGUAGCCCACCAGGCUCCUCUGUCCGUGGAAUUCUCCAGGCCAGAAUACUGGAGUGGGCUGCCAGUUCCUCCUCCAGGGGAUCUUCUGAACCCACAGAUCGAACCCAGGUGUCCUGCAUUGCAGGUGGAUUCUGCACCAGGUGAGUACCAGGGAGCAUAACUAAAAUGAUAUAAUAAGAAUAACAUCUCAAAGGAAUUCUAGAAGUAAGAUCAAUGGCAACUUAUUUUUAAAAUAACAC